rnacentral:rRNA from 1 species
GAUGAACGCUGGCGGCGUGCCUAAUACAUGCAAGUCGAGCGAACGGACGAGAAGCUUGCUUCUCUGAUGUUAGCGGCGGACGGGUGAGUAACACGUGGAUAACCUACCUAUAAGACUGGGAUAACUUCGGGAAACCGGAGCUAAUACCGGAUAAUAUUUUGAACCGCAUGGUUCAGAAGUGAAAGACGGUCUUGCUGUCACUUAUAGAUGGAUCCGCGCUGCAUUAGCUAGUUGGUAAGGUAACGGCUUACCAAGGCAACGAUGCAUAGCCGACCUGAGGGGGUGAUCGGCCACACUGGAACUGAGACACGGUCCAGACUCCUACGGGAGGCAGCAGUAGGGAAUCUUCCGCAAUGGGCGAAAGCCUGACGGAGCAACGCCGCGUGAGUGAUGAAGGUCUUCGGAUCGUAAAACUCUGUUAUUAGGGAAGAACAUAUGUGUAAGUAACUGUGCACAUCUUGACGGUACCUAAUCAGAAAGCCACGGCUAACUACGUG